ensembl:lncRNA
CGGUGCGCCACAUAAAUAAGAUAAAAACAACAACAAAAAAUGGAAAUCAAAAAGCAUACCACGGAAAACCAGAAUUUGACUGAAAAAAUUAAAAAUAGGGAGCUCAGAAUUGUGAAAAACAGAGCACGGGUUAAAUCAAAUGUUUGGAAUCAUUUUGGAAUAAUCAUAAACGCUGAGAAACAACAUGUGGAUGGAUUCGCAGCUUGCAAAAAGUGCAAACGGGUGUUAAGCUAUGAUAGUCAAAGAACAGGCACGUCCAGCUUGAAAAAACACAUUGGGAGAUGUACGGGACAAUGAAAAUGCCUCUCUGGUAGCCUUGACAGAAGUGGGGGCCCCAGAGCAGUUUGAGUUUCAGUAUGGACUUGAAGGACCAACGUUUCACACUGAUAACGGGGAGGACUCCAAGAGACAUCUGUCCAUUAUCAAAGUGGAACAACUAGACCCUGUUCUCCCGGAACAGACCGACACCAGCUGUGGUUCUGGGUCACCCGAUGGUUCGGGGCCCCCUGGCUCAUCUGGGUCUGGCUCUGGGUCCGGUUUGAGUCCAGCUGCACAGUUCUUCGCCAAGUGCCACCAGGCAGGCUGCACACAGUUUGUCUUCUCAGAGUUCGCUUCACGCCUCAGCAUAAUCACUGAACGGAUCACAUCCCAACAGGCCAGCGAGGAUGAUUUCAACCUCACCCUGAAAGUGCUGGAGGCUUCUGGGAUGCUGCCAGACAUCUUUGCUAAGAGAGACCAAGAAAUGGAGAAGAGACUGAGGGAGCUGCAGAAGGAGACGGAAUCACUGAGAACGGCCCGGUCUGCCAUGAGAGAUGCCUGUAUCAUGAGCUUCUCUUCAGCAUGACAGUCCCCUGCCCAACACCACACCGGGUUCUUUGUAGAUCAUGUCGUUAUUUGUUUCCCUUCGGGACCAAAGAAGGAUUAUAUCAGUCUGGGUACCCAAACUUGCACUGGCCAAACGCUCCGCCCACAAACGUGUUUGUUCUCUGCAAUGAGUCUGGAUUAGGGUACCUCUAUUGAUUUUUAAUACACGCUUUCUAACCGUUUUGAUUGGUCACAGAAAUAAAUUGGUUAUCACAGCCAGAACUUGUGGUUAAAUUAGCAUUUCGAAAAUGAUUUGAUUCUGAUUAGGUUGACAUGAUUUGUACAACAUUUCGACGUCACAAAAAACGUCAGUGGUGACAGUCUCGGACUGAUGUAGUGAACGACAGAGUAGCAGAAUAUUCCGAUUUUGACUCGUCGGGCAAGAAAGGUUUGGGACCUGGAGGUUUUAGUGUGUCUGAUCACCUGUUCAGGAGAACUCACAUGCCUACUUCAGGAGAGUGGAAACGGACUCGUAAAUAUUUCUGUUUUUCAAGGAUUUUGUCAAUCGUUGGAAUCAUAAGUAGACAGAGGAAAAGGGUGGAUGCAUGUGGAGACGGAGGUCAAGGGCGGAGACUGGUAUUAAACUUCGUUCCCCCUUGUGGUGCCGCAUGUGUUCAAGGAUCUGGGACUUUUACCACUAGAAUAUGGAUCCACACACAGAUCCUACAUUUAACCAAAUGUAAAUCAAUGAAACUGUGUAUAUUUGCCAUAUUUUUCUACCUCUUGUUAAAACUUUUUAAGUCUGUUAUGAAGCAGUUUAUUGCAGCAUGCCCACUGAGUUGGGAUAUGUAAAUAACUAGUAGAUCAUCUCUGAAGGUCAGAGGUUGUAACAGAUGUAAUGGUUAGGUCAGUCUUUUAGGAUGACUUCAGAAAAUAUUCAGACCACUUUCUCAACAUUAAUUUGUAACUGAUGUCAUUUUUUCUAAUAAUCUUACACACAUCAGACCCAUAACGACAACGAAAUUUGAGACAAUUUGAAAAAGUAAAUAUUUAAUGUAUGUAAGUAUGAAUACUUCCCCAAGCCACUUAUGUAGUAAUGUGUCUGUAAACCAAUGGAUCAACUUUCCGGUUGAAUUGUGUGCUUGUGUACCUGAGCAAAGCUGAGAGCUGUUGCAAUGUUUUGAGAAUGCAUUAAACAUCGGUUUUGUCAAUUAGAAAUAGCCUUUAAAUUAUUUAAGUUAAUUUUGUGCUUACAACUAC